GUGUGUGUUCUGUACGUGAUCAGGGGAAGGCUCUAGAGAGCCAAACCCUAAUUCAUCAUAUAUCAACCAAUUGAAGCAUGAAUCGAGGCUCAAAUUCAAGAAGGAACAUGAAUUAACGAUCACCCAAGCUAGAGGAUCAUAAGGAAUCAUGUCAAGAUGGAUGGGAGCAUUGAAGGCUAACGGGCUAAGAAGACUCAAUCAAGUAAGCGAACGAGAAUACGGACGCGCAAGGUAAGUGAACUCCGAACUUACCCUUUAGUUUGGUAAUGUAUUUAUGAUAUAUGUUAAUUAUUGAAUGCAAUGUAAGAAGAUAUGGAUCGAUGCUAUUACUAAGUUAAGUUUUAAUGGAAUGGGUUGGAAGUGGUUAAGAAAGAGAUUCGAUUAGGUUUGGGUAAGAAAGGGAACUUACAUAAUGAAAUUAUGCUUGAAUGAAUAAGAUGAGUUAUGUGUAUUUGAGGACAUGUUCAUAUAAAUGGAAGCUAAUGUACUAAUCGUUUUUCUAUUGAGAAUUAAUGUGAAGUAUAGGCAUGUUAACAAAGGAAGUGAAGGUUGACUCCACAAUCCGAUGCGAGUAAUCGAAUGGAUGGAUAAAGGGGCUAGUAUAAGAAAAAGCAUGAUAUGUUGACGCGCUAUUAUGCUUGUGCUAAGAUUUUUGUAUUAUGUCACCGGUUGCUAAUAAUGUGUUUGAAUGUGGUGACUGCAAGCUAUACAUGUUUGGAUGUUUCAUCUAGAAGUGUACGCGGUUGAAGAUCGAGUCAAGACACGGAUUGUAUGUGGGUGUGUACGUAGUCACAUAAUUGAGACAUGUAUGUUAGUUUUUGGAUUAAAUUAUAAAAAGAGAAUAAUGUAUUUAAAUGAAAGAAAGAAUAUCAUGAAGGAAAUUUUUUUUAA